rnacentral:rRNA from 1 species
GACGAACCGUACGAACGUUAUUCGGAAUCACUGGGCUUAAAGGGUGCGUAGGCGGCGCAGUAAGUUGGGUGUGAAAUCCCUCGGCUUAACCGAGGAAUUGCGCCCAAAACUACUGUGCUCGAGGGAGGUAGAGGUGAGCGGAACUUAGGGUGGAGCGGUGAAAUGCGCAGAUAUCAGGAAGAACACCCGUGGCGAAGGCGGCUCUCUGGGACGGUACUGACGCUGAGACGCGAAAGCGUGGGGAGCGAACAGG